rnacentral:rRNA from 1 species
GAUGAACGCUGGCGGCGUGCCUAAUACAUGCAAGUCGAGCGAACGGACGAGAAGCUUGCUUCUCUGAUGUUAGCGGCGGACGGGUGAGUAACACGUGGAUAACCUACCUAUAAGACUGGGAUAACUUCGGGAAACCGUAGCUAAUACCGGAUAAUAUUUUGAACCGCAUGGUUCAAAAGUGAAAGACGGUCUUGCUGUCACUUAUAGAUGGAUCCGCGCUGCAUUAGCUAGUUGGUAAGGUAACGGCUUACCAAGGCAACGAUGCAUAGCCGACCUGAGAGGGUGAUCGGCCACACUGGAACUGAGACACGGUCCAGACUCCUACGGGAGGCAGCAGUAGGGAAUCUGCCGCAAUGGGCGAAAGCCUGACGGAGCAACGCCGCGUGAGUGAUGAAGGUCUUCGGAUCGUAAAACUCUGUUAUUAGGGAAGAACAUAUGUGUAAGUAACUGUGCACAUCUUGACGGGACCUAAUCAGAAAGCCACGGCUAACUACGU